rnacentral:rRNA from 1 species
CGACCGGCGCACGGGUGCGUAACGCGUAUGCAACCUACCCAUAACAGGGGGAUAACACUGAGAAAUUGGUACUAAUACCCCAUAACAUCAGGACCGGCAUCGGUUCUGGUUGAAAACUCCGGUGGUUAUGGAUGGGCAUGCGUUGUAUUAGCUGGUUGGUGAGGUAACGGCUCACCAAGGCAACGAUACAUAGGGGGACUGAGAGGUUAACUCCCCACAUUGGUACUGAGACACGGACCAA